AACGAACGCUGGCGGCAGGCUUAACACAUGCAAGUCGAGCGCCCCGCAAGGGGAGCGGCAGACGGAUGAGUAACGCGUGGGAAUCUACCCCUCCCUACGGAAUAGCUCCGGGACACUGGAAUUAAUACCGUAUACGCCCUACGGGGGAUAGAUUUAUCGGGUAUGGAUGAGACCUCGGUGGAUUAGCUAGUUGGUGGGGUAAAGGCCUACCAAGGGGACGGUGCAUAGCUGGUCUGAGAGGAUGAUCAGCCACAUUGGGACUGAGACACGGCCCGAACUCCUACGGGAGGCAGCAGUGGGGAAGAUUGGACAAUGGGGGCAACCCUGAUCCAGCCAUGCCGCGUGAGUGAUGAAGGCCUUAGGGUUGUAAAGCUCUUUCACCGGGGAAGAUAAUGACGGUACCCGGAGAAGAAGCCCCGGCUAACUUCGUGCCAGCCGCCGCCGUAAAAC
rnacentral:rRNA from 1 species